rnacentral:rRNA from 1 species
CGGUGUUUAACUGGCGUGAUGUGGGACGUCCUACCGGUGGGCUUAGCCUCGCGAGGGGCGGCCCAACUAAUAUCCCGUCGCGGUGCUCUUUACUGAGUGUCGAGUCGGGCCGGUACGUUUACUUUGAACAAAUUAGAGUGCUUAAAGCAGGCUAUCCUCGCCUGAAUACUGUGUGCAUGGAAUAAUGGAAUAGGACCUCGGUUCUAUUUUGUUGGUUUUCGGAACCCCGAGGUAAUGAUUAAUAGGGACAGAUGGGGGCAUUCGUAUUGCGACGUUAGAGGUGAAAUUCUUGGAUCGUCGCAAGACGGACAGAAGCGAAAGCAUUUGCCAAAAAUGUUUUCAUUAAUCAAGAACGAAAGUUAGAGGUUCGAAGGCGAUCAGAUACCGCCCUAGUUCUAACCAUAAACGAUGCCAGCUAGCGAUCCGCCGAAGUUCCUCCGAUGACUCGGCGGGCAGCUUCCGGGAAACCAAAGCUUUUGGGUUCCGGGGGAAGUAUGGUUGCAAAGCUGAAACUUAAAGGAAUUGACGGAAGGGCGCCACCAGGAGUGGAGCCUGCGGCUUAAUUUGACUCAACACGGGAAACCUCACCAGGCCCAGACACCGGAAGGAUUGACAGAUUGAUAGCUCUUUCUUGAUUCGGUGGGUGGUGGUGCAUGGCCGUUCUUAGUUGGUGGAGCGAUUUGUCUGGUUAAUUCCGAUAACGAACGAGACUCUAGCCUGCUAAAUAGGCGUACCUUAUGGUAUCGCGAAGGCCCCCGGCUUCGGCCGGUGGGUUUUUACUACCAACGUACAAACAAAUCUUCUUAGAGGGACAGGCGG